UACGUAGGGUGCGAGCGUUGUCCGGAAUUAUUGGGCGUAAAGAGCUCGUAGGCGGUCUGUCGCGUCUGCUGUGAAAUCCCGAGGCUCAACCUCGGGCUUGCAGUGGGUACGGGCAGGCUAGAGUGCGGUAGGGGAGAAUGGAACUCCUGGGUGUAGCGGUGGAAUGCGCAGAUAUCAGGAAGAACACCGAUGGCGAAGGCAGUUCUCUGGGCCGUAACUGACGCUGAGGAGCGAAAGCGUGGGGAGCGAACAG
rnacentral:rRNA from 1 species